GUUAGAACGCUCGUAGUCGGAUUUCGGGGCGGGCCGACCGGUCUGCCGAUGGGUACGCACUGGUCGGCGCGUCCUUCCUUCCGGAGACCGCGCCUACUCUUAACUGAGCGGGUUCGGGAGACGGAUCGUUUACUUUGAAAAAAUCAGAGUGUUUCAAGCAGGCAGCUCGCUCUUGCAUGGAUUAGCAUGGGAUAAUGAAAUAGGACUUUGGUGCUAUUUUGUUGGUUUCGAACACCGAAGUAAUGAUUAAAAGGGACAGUCAGGGGCACUCGUAUUCCGCCGAGAGAGGUGAAAUUCUCAGACCAGCGGAAGACGAACCACUGCGAAAGCAUUUGCCAGGGAUGUUUUCACUGAUCAAGAACGAAAGUUAGGGGAUCGAAGAGGAUCAGAUACCCUCGUAGUCUUAACCAUAAACCAUGCCGACUAGGGAUUGGGGGAUGUUCACUGAUUGACUCCCUCAGCACCUUACGGGAAACUAAAGUCUUUGGGUUCCGGGGGGAGUAUGGUCGCAAGGCUGAAACUUAAAGGAAUUGACGGAAGGGCACCACCAGGUGUGGAGCCUGCGGCUUAAUUUGACUCAACACGGGGAAACUUACCAGGUCCAGACAUUGUGAGGAUUGACAGAUUGAGAGCUCUUUCUUGAUUCGAUGGGUGGUGGUGCAUGGCCGUUCUUAGUUGGUGGAGUGAUUUGUCUGGUUAAUUCCGUUAAC
rnacentral:rRNA from 1 species